ensembl:snoRNA SNORA70 Small nucleolar RNA SNORA70
CUGCAGCCAAUUAAGCCAUCCGGCCUCCUCUCCCCAUGGGCACCCAGAGUGCCAUUGCUGCAAACAGCAGCCUCCUCAGUAGUGUACGCAGCCUAUUGCUUAUAUGGGUCACCCUAAAGGACCUUGGAGAUAGCC